rnacentral:lncRNA from 1 species
AACGAGCCGAGUUCGAGCGAGCUUACCUCGGCUCAAAUUCGACUUGAAAUUAAUUUCGAGCCUAAAUUUAAGCUCAAACUUGGAUUGAAAUUAAUUCGAGCCGAGCUCGAGCGAGCCUAAUUUCAAGUCGAGCGAGCUCGAGCCCUAAACGAGCCGCUUGGAAUUCUCAACAUUAUACGAUCAAUAGUUUAAUUUGUAUAGAACAUUAUCUAUAAUUUGAUACAAAAAUAUGUCUAAUAGUUCAAAGUACAAAAUAAUUAUAUGAAAUAUAGUAUUAUAAUAUGAAAAAAAAUAAUUUAUGAGUUGAAUAUCUAAUUUUUUCAGUCUCACAUGUCUUUUCUUCCGCCUUCAAUCUCUAUAUUAUUCAUUUUCAUUUAUGCAGUCAAAAAUAAAUAAAUUAUAUAGAUAAAUAUUGGAUUAAACUAUCCAAUCAUAUAUAACUAAAAUUAAAAUUUUAUAUGAAUAAUAAUUUUUUACUUUAAAAAUAUUCUGUAUAUUUUCUCAAGCAUACAAUUAAUAGCAAGAUAGGCAACGGUGGGCAUAUGAUGUUACUUGGUAACUUAGAGGACUUCCGGCUUGGCCACUUAGGAUAAGAGACAGAAAAAGAGAAAGAGAGAAACAUAUUGAAAAUUUAGAACUCUAUGAAAGAAAGAAAGAAAGAAAGGAAAAAUAUAUAAAUUUAGUAAAAUUUUGCUCUUUUAUUUGUCUAUUGGGUUUGUUUUUAUAGGCCAACAACAUUGGCCCAAUUUUAACUAAACUCAGAUUAAAAAUUGUAUGGUUGGGAUAAUUGCAGUCUCCCCUAGGAUUAAAUAAUACUCUUAGGAUUGAGUGGUCCCUAUAAUGUAAUAAUAAUAUUAAUCCAAAAAUAAGAAACGAUUAAAGGGAUUGAUCUAAGAAUCAAAAAAUCGAAAGCACCAGAUCUCUAUACUUUCGAUAGCAUAGUAGCUCUACUAUAUAUAUAU